rnacentral:rRNA from 1 species
UACAGAGGCCUCGAGCGUUAGGCGGAAUCACUGGGCUUAAAGCGUGUGUAGGCGGAUUGCUAAGUACCUUGUGAAAUCCCACGGCUUAACCGUGGAACUGCUUGGUAUACUGGCUGUCUUGAGCCACCUAGGGGCAACCGGAACAAACGGUGGAGCGGUGAAAUGCGUAGAUAUCGUUUGGAACGCCAAUGGUGAAAACAGGUUGCUGGGGACCUGCUGACGCUGAGACACGGAAAGCCAGGGGAGCGAACGGG